ACCUUUUUUAUUUCUCCCCUUAUAGUGCUAUAUUCUUUACAGCUGGGUUUGCUUUGGAUAUAUUCAGUCUUUUCUUUUAGCUAACCAUAUUACACCUUUCUUAAUUUGAUAUUCGAGUGUUGGGAUUCGUUCUUUUGAUAGCGAGUUAUAAUUGCUUGAGUUAACUUCAAUUCUGUGGUUCUAAUCAUUGAUACAUUUCUUAAUUGUUGUUGGCCAAUGAGCAACUGUUGGUUUUUGUCCCCUGUUGAAUUAACUAAUGAGGCAUGAACACAAUGAGUGCUUGUUGAUAUGUAUGCAGAAUAUAGGCCAUUGAUGAAGCUCGCACACUGUUUGAUAAUAUGCCAAAGAAGGGUACUCGGGGGCACAAGCUUAUUGCAGCCAAAUCUGUAGCAAAUUUGAUUAGAGAGAAAUUGUACAAUCUAAUGCGGGUUCAAAAACUUGCAGCGCGGAACGCUAUGGAUUGUAAGUUGAAUUUUUGUUCUGGUGUUUCUUAUCUCAAGAAAAUGCUGAUAAAUAAGGUUAUAAUGUCAUAUUCAGAACAUAAUUGCAAUUAUGGAUGGGAUUGAAUUCUAUCGCGGUUAGUUCCUUGAGGGUUGGUAUGGACACAGGCUACUCUAUCUUGUUAUUCUUUCUCCAUGAAGGAACCAUUGUGUUAUGCUAGUAAUUGGACAAGCUUGCACUACACUGUGUGACUAUAAUUAAGUUACAUGCAUCUA